AAUGCAUUGUUGGCAGGUAGGAACUGACAAACUCAGAAAUUAAGUGUUGUCAUCAGCUUCGUCUCUUAUCAUAUGACAGUGGAGUUAAAUAACAGCACAACAUUU